GUGGGAGGAGCGGGGCGGUGAGAGCCUGGCUAGGCAGGCUGGAAACAGUAGCUCUUAACGGUCCCCCGCCCGUUGGUGGCAAGGCGGCUGGACUGGAAUCCCAGCAGGCGACAUGCGAGGAGGCGGGCAGCCCAGGAGGGUUGGACACGGCAAUGUGGACCUCGCCGCUUCCACAACGAUGCUGGCUACUGAUCGCGUGCACUUCCUUGCCAAAGAAAAUUUGUGCUGUGCACUAACAUGCAAUACAAAUACUGAUGAAAAUAAAACUAUUGCCCUCCUACCAAAUGAGAAAUUAAUGUUAUGACUGGAUGAAGACAAUUGUGAAGAAACUGCACUUUGAGGUUGUCUAUCUCUGUAUUCUGAUGGAAAAGCGUGGAGUUUAGAAGCACUGCUCACUCCUUCAGUUUCUAACAAAUGUCUUCUGUACCCAGACUUCCCUGAGGGUAUGCUUUUUUGAUAUCAUUCCAGCAUCUGCACCGUGUUUUAUAUUUCGGACUAUGCUGCAUUUCAUCACAAUAAAUUCCUCUAGCUGUUUGGGGUGACAUAAACUACUGAAAGAGUGACUCCAGAAAGUGCUGCCAUCAAUAUCUGCAACUUGUAGGGUGUUUGGAUCAAUGAGGUGAAUGGCACUGGUUAUUCGAAUACACACACAAAUCUGGUUCAUAUUUCCCAGGCUUUGUGUCAGUUUUGGAGACAGACAGACAACAUAAUCCUGGCAUAUUGGAACAAUUUCCACAGAAAAAGUGCUUUUGUAAUUGUAUGUAUUACUAUGGACAUCCUGAGAGAUCAGUCUUUGGGAUGCGUUGUAUCUACAGGGAACUGUAUACUGAAUAAAUUCGACCAUCUUCUGAGCAUGUGGUUUUGAGGAAUAAUAAAAAUCCAGACCAUCAUGAA
rnacentral:lncRNA from 1 species